ensembl:snRNA U5 U5 spliceosomal RNA
AUACUCUGGUUUCUCAUCAGAUCAUAUAAAUCUUUCGCCUUUUACUAAAGAUUUUCGUGGAGAAGAACAUACAUGAGUUUUGCAUGGAUGUGUUUUACCAGUGGUUGGAUAACAGAA